UUAGGAAUUUUGCGCAAUGGACGAAAGUCUGACGCAGCAACGCCGCGUGGGUGAAGAAGGUCUUCGGAUCGUAAAGCCCUUUUCUGAGGGAAGAUGAUGACGGUACCUCAGGAAUAAGCCUCGGCUAACUACGUGCCAGCAGCCGCGGUAAUACGUAGGAGGCAAGCGUUGUCCGGAUUUACUGGGCGUAAAGGGCGUGUAGGCGGUGGUGCAAGUUGGGUGUGAAAUUUCCCGGCUCAACUGGGAAGGGUCAUCCAAAACUGCACUGCUAGAGGGCAGCAGAGGAAAGUAGAAUUCCCGGUGUAGUGGUGAAAUGCGUAGAUAUCGGGAGGAAUACCGGUGGCGAAGGCGGCUUUCUGGGCUGUACCUGACGCUGAGGCGCGAAAGCGUGGGUAGCGAACUGAAUUAGAUACUCAGGUAGUCCACGCCUAAACGAUGGACACUAGGUGUGGGGGUAUCGACCCCUCUGUGCCGAAGCUAACGCAUUAAGUGUCCGCCGUGGGAGUACGGCC
rnacentral:rRNA from 1 species